rnacentral:rRNA from 1 species
AUUGAACGCUGGCGGCAGGCCUAACACAUGCAAGUCGAGCGGAUGAAGGGAGCUUGCUCCUGGAUUCAGCGGCGGACGGGUGAGUAAUGCCUAGGAAUCUGCCUGGUAGUGGGGGAUAACGUCCGGAAACGGGCGCUAAUACCGCAUACGUCCUGAGGGAGAAAGUGGGGGAUCUUCGGACCUCACGCUAUCAGAUGAGCCUAGGUCGGAUUAGCUAGUUGGUGGGGUAAAGGCCUACCAAGGCGACGAUCCGUAACUGGUCUGAGAGGAUGAUCAGUCACACUGGAAGUGAGAAACGGUCCAGACUCCUACGGGAGGCAGCAGUGGGGAAUAUUGGACAAUGGACGAAAGCCUGAUACAGCCAUGCCGCGUGUAUGCAGAAGGACUUCGGAUCGUAAAGCAAUUUAAGUUGGGAGGAAGGGCAGUAAGUUAAUACCUUGCUGUUUUGACGUUACCAACAGAAUAAGCACCGGCUAACUUCGUG